rnacentral:rRNA from 1 species
AUUGAACGCUGGCGGCAGGCCUAACACAUGCAAGUCGAGCGGAUGAAGGGAGCUUGCUCCUGGAUUCAGCGGCGGACGGGUGAGUAAUGCCUAGGAAUCUGCCUGGUAGUGGGGGAUAACGUCCGGAAACGGGCGCUAAUACCGCAUACGUCCUGAGGGAGAAAGUGGGGGAUCUUCGGACCUCACGCUAUCAGAUGAGCCUAGGUCGGAUUAGCUAGUUGGUGGGGUAAAGGCCUACCAAGGCGACGAUCCGUAACUGGACUGAGAGGAUGAUCCGUCACACUGGAACUGAGACACGGUCCAGACUCCUACGGGAGGCAGCAGUGGGGAAUAUUGGACAAUGGGCGAAAGCCUGAUCCAGCCAUGCCGCGUGUGUGAAGAAGGUCUUCGGAUUGUAAAGCACUUUAAGUUGGGAGGAAGGGCAGUAAGUUAAUACCUUGCUGUUUUGACGUUACCAACAGAAUAAGCACCGGCUAACUUCGUG